rfam:Lactobacillus rennini DSM 20253 NODE_45, whole genome shotgun sequence.
GCCGGCUUAGCUCAGUUGGUAGAGCAUCGCAUUCGUAACGCGGGGGUCACAGGUUCAAGUCCUGCAGCCGGCA